UACUCUAGAAAGUAGAAAAUAGAAGUUGUUUCUGGGCUAAAAGCCUGGACAGGCUUGACAAGGUCACCUGAUGUGCAUGUUUCCGCUCAUCUCCCACCCAGGAGUCCUAAGGGUCCUCCUGACAUAGCCACCUCUAGUGUCCCAGGAGGCAGGCGCUACUUUCUGGUGUCAGGCCAGUAAGAGGGCAGGGGGGAAGAGUGGUUCUCAGGCAGACAGGCUCUCUCAGCCCUGUGUCCUUGCCAGCCUGAGUAAGGUAAUGGCAUCAACCCUGCUCACAGGGCACUGAUCGCAUGCUGGGUGCCUCUCCACGCUUCCCAUGCACUGUCUCCCUGAACUGUUCCUCGAAGGCACUGUGAGGUACUGUCACAGAUGACACCAGGGCUGCGGGGGUGACAUGGUGGAGCUGGGAUGCCCUGCCUGCACUCUGCUCUUCUGGAGGGUCCUCAGGUCCUUGUGGCUAACCUCAGCCUUGGUGGGCAGGCCCAGGCCCCAGCACUGUGGUGGGAGCUGCAGCCUCUCCUCCUGCUUCCCUGCCCCUCAGCACCCAGAGCAGAGAAGGUCUUAGCCCACACCGGCCUCCUUUUGCCUGUGGCUGGCAGCCUGCCUAGGCAUGGCAGGGGAAACGGCAGGGGCACGUGUCUGACUUUAUGCCACAGCCAAGAAUCUAGCUGAUGGCAGUGCCCUUGGGAGUUGCUCUGUCAGCUGGCCUGGGACCGGCUGUUCAUCUC
rnacentral:lncRNA from 1 species